UACGUAGGGGGCAAGCGUUGUCCGGAAUCAUUGGGCGUAAAGAGCGUGUAGGCGGUUCGUUAAGUCGGCUGUGAAAGUCCAGGGCUAAACCCUGGGAUGCCGGUCGAUACUGCCGGACUAGAGUUCGGAAGAGGCGAGUGGAAUUCCCGGUGUAGCGGUGAAAUGCGCAGAUAUCGGGAGGAACACCUAUGGCGAAGGCAGCUCGCUGGGACGUUACUGACGCUGAGACGCGAAAGCGUGGGGAGCAAACAGG
rnacentral:rRNA from 1 species